rnacentral:rRNA from 1 species
GGACCCGCACAAGUAGUGGAGCAUGUGGUUUAAUUCGAAGAUACGCGCAGAACCUUACCAACACUUGACAUGUUUGUCGCGACUUUAAGAGAUUAAAGUCUUCGGUUCGGCCGGACAAAACACAGGUGCUGCAUGGCUGUCGUCAGCUCGUGUCGUGAGAUGUUGGGUUAAGUCCCGCAACGAGCGCAACCCUCACUUUUAGUUGCCAUCAUUUAGUUGGGCACUUUGAAAGAACUGCCAGUGAUAAGCUGGAGGAAGGUGGGGAUGACGUCAAGUCCUCAUGGCCCUUACGUGUUGGGCUACACACGUGCUACAAUGGCAUUUACAAUAGGAUGCAAGAUGGCGACAUCAAGCAAAUCCUAAAAAAAUGCCUCAGUUCGGAUUGUACUCUGCAACUCGAGUACAUG